rnacentral:rRNA from 1 species
UACGGAGGGAGCUAGCGUUGUUCGGAAAUACUGGGCGUAAAGCGCACGUAGGCGGCGCAGCAAGUCAGGGGUGAAAUCCCGGGGCUCAACCUCGGAACUGCCCUUGAAACUGCAGUGCUAGAAUCUUGGAGAGGCGAGUGGAAUUCCGAGUGUAGAGGUGAAAUUCGUAGAUAUUCGGAAGAACACCAGUGGCGAAGGCGGCUCUCUGGGACGGUACUGACGCUGAGACGCGAAAGCGUGGGGAGCAAACAGG